AUUGCACGCUGGCGGCAGGCCUAACACAUGCAAGUCGAACGAGUGGCGGACGGGUGAGUAAUGUCUGGGAAACUGCCUGAUGGAGGGGGAUAACUACUGGAAACGGUAGCUAAUACCGCAUACCAUCAGAUGUGCCCAGAUGGGAUUAGCUUGGGGGGGGGGUAACGGCUCACCAAGGCGACGAUCCCUAGCUGGUCUGAGAGGAGGCCAGCCCACCGUGGAACUGAGAGACGGUCAAGACUCCUACGGGAGGCAGCAGUGGGGAAUAUUGCACAAUGGGCGCAAGCCUGUGGCAGCCAGGCCGCGUGUAUGAAGAAGGCCUUCGGGUUGUAAAGUACUUUCAGCGGGGAGGCGUUACCCGCAGAAGAAGCACCGGCUAACUCCGUGCCAGCAGCCGCGGUAAUAC
rnacentral:rRNA from 1 species